ACGGAGGAUGCAAGCGUUAUCCGGAAUCAUUGGGCGUAAAGAGUCCGUAGGCGGCUAAUCAAGUCUGCUGUCAAAGACCGAAGCUCAACUUCGGAAAGGCGGUGGAAACUGAUAAGCUAGAGUACAGUAGGGGUAGAGGGAAUUCCCAGUGUAGCGGUGAAAUGCGUAGAGAUUGGGAAGAACACCAGUGGCGAAGGCGCUCUACUGGGCUUGUACUGACGCUGAGGGACGAAAGCUAGGGUAGCGAAAGGG
rnacentral:rRNA from 1 species